AGAGUUUGAUCCUGGCUCAGGACAAACGCUGGCGGCGUGCCUAACACAUGCAAGUCGAACGAGAAAGUCGGCUUCGGCCGAUGAGUACAGUGGCGCACGGGUGAGUAACACGUGGGUAACCUACCUCUCGGAGGGGGAUAACACACCGAAAGGUGUGCUAAUACCGCAUAAUACGACGUUAUUUAUUAUGAUGUCGUCAAAGGUGGCGUAAGCUGCCGCUGAGAGAUGGGCCCGCGGACCAUUAGCUAGUUGGUAGGGUAACGGCCUACCAAGGCGACGAUGGUUAGCUGGUCUGAGAGGAUGUCCAGCCACACUGGAACUGAAACACGGUCCAGACUCCUACGGGAGGCAGCAGUGAGGAAUUUUGCGCAAUGGGGGGAACCCUGACGCAGCAACGCCGCGUGAGUGAAGAAGGCCCUCGGGUUGUAAAGCUCUGUCGGAGCUGAAGAAACUACUUCGGGUAAAUAGCCCGUGGUACUGACGGUAAGCUCAAAGGAAGCACCGGCUAACUCCGUGCCAGCAGCCGCGGUAAUACGGAGGGUGCAAGCGUUGUUCGGAUUUAUUGGGCGUAAAGAGCGUGUAGGCGGUUUUGCAAGUCAGGUGUGAAAUCCCGGGGCUUAACCCCGGAACUGCGUCUGAAACUGCAGGACUUGAGUACGGGAGAGGUAGGUGGAAUUCCUGGUGUAGAGGUGAAAUUCGUAGAUAUCAGGAGGAACACCCGUGGCGAAAGCGACCUACUGGACCGAUACUGACGCUGAGACGCGAAAGCGUGGGGAGCAAACAGGAUUAGAUACCCUGGU
rnacentral:rRNA from 1 species